AGAGUUUGAUCAUGGCUCAGGAUGAACGCUGGCCGGCGUGCAUAGCACAUGCAAGUCGAACGAGAACCCCAUCUUCGGAUUGGGGGACACUGGCGAACGGGUGAGUAACACGUUGCUGACUUGCCCGAAGUGAGGGACAAUCUGCGAAAGCGGGGCUAUUACCGCAUGUGCUCCAGGGGGUUAGAGGCCCCUGGAGUAAAGCUCUGGCGCUUCGGGAGUGACCUGCGGCAUAUCAGCUAGUUGGUGAGGUAACGGCUCACCAAGGCUAAGACGGGUAGGGGGCGUGAGAGCGUGGCCCCCCACAAUGGAAGUGAGACACGGUCCAUACUCGUACGGGAGGCAGCAGUGAGGAAUAUUGCGCAAUGGGGGAAACCCUGACGCAGCAACGCCGCGUGGGUGAUGAAGGCCUUCGGGUCGUAAAACCCUUUUCUGGGGGAAGAGAAAGGACGGUACCUCAGGAAUAAGUCCCGGCUAAUUACGUGCCAGCAGCCGCGGUAAAACGUAGGGGGCGAGCGUUAUCCGGAUUUACUGGGCGUAAAGCGCGUGCAGGCGGCUUGGUAGGUUGGACGUGAAAGCUCUUGGCUCAACUGAGAGAGGUCGUUCAAUACCGCCAAGCUUGAGGGCGGAAGAGGGGAGCGGAAUUCCCGGUGUAGUGGUGGAACGCGUAGAUAUCGGGAGGAACACCCGUGGCGAAGGCGGAUCCAUGGUCCGCACUUGACGAUGAGACGCGAAAGCGUGGGUAGCAAACGGGAUUAGAUACCCCGGUAGUCCCCGCCGUAACCGAUGGAUGUUAGGUGUAGGUGGUAUUGACCCCAUCUGUGCCGUAGUUAACGCGUUAAGCAUCCCGCCUGGGGACUACGGCCGCAAGGUUAAAACUCAAAUGAAUUGACGG
rnacentral:rRNA from 1 species